rfam:Gilliamella apicola SCGC AB-598-I20 SCG598I20_12376, whole genome shotgun sequence.
AAAUUGAAGAGUUUGAUCAUGGCUCAGAUUGAACGCUGGCGGCAGGCUUAACACAUGCAAGUCGAACGGUAACAUGAGUGCUUGCACUUGAUGACGAGUGGCGGACGGG